AAUGGAGAGUUUGAUCCUGGCUCAGGAUGAACGCUGGCGGUCUGCUUAACACAUGCAAGUCGAACGGGAAUCUUCGGAUUCUAGUGGCGGACGGGUGAGUAACGCGUGAGAAUCUGCCUUCAGGACGGGGAUAACAGUUGGAAACGACUGCUAAGACCGGAUGUGCCGAGAGGUGAAAUAUUUAUAGCCUGAAGAUGAGCUCGCGUCCGAUUAGCUAGUUGGUAAGGUAAAAGCUUACCAAGGCGACGAUCGGUAGCUGGUCUGAGAGGACGAUCAGCCACACUGGGACUGAGACACGGCCCAGACUCCUACGGGAGGCAGCAGUGGGGAAUUUUCCGCAAUGGGCGAAAGCCUGACGGAGCAAGACCGCGUGGGGGAGGAAGGUUCUUGGAUUGUAAACCCCUUUUCUCAGGGAAGAACAAAAUGACGGUACCUGAGGAAUCAGCAUCGGCUAACUCCGUGCCAGCAGCCGCGGUAAUACGGAGGAUGCAAGCGUUAUCCGGAAUAAUUGGGCGUAAAGCGUCCGUAGGUGGCUGUUCAAGUCUGCCGUUAAAGACCGGGGCUUAACCCUGGAAAGGCGGUGGAAACUGAGCGGCUAGAGUGCAGUAGGGGUAGAGGGAAUUCCCAGUGUAGCGGUGAAAUGCGUAGAGAUUGGGAAGAACACCGGUGGCGAAAGCGCUCUGCUGGACUGCAACUGACACUGAGGGACGAAAGCUAGGGGAGCGAAUGGGAUUAGAUACCCCAGUAGUCCUAGCCGUAAACGAUGGAUACUAGGUGUGGCCUGUAUCGACCCGGGCCGCGCCGUAGCUAACGCGUUAAGUAUCCCGCCUGGGGAGUACGCACGCAAGUGUGAAACUCAAAGGAAUUGACGGGGGCCCGCACAAGCGGUGGAGUAUGUGGUUUAAUUCGAUGCAACGCGAAGAACCUUACCAGGACUUGACAUGUCCGGAACCUUCUGGAAACAGAAGGGUGCCUUCGGGAACCGGAACACAGGUGGUGCAUGGCUGUCGUCAGCUCGUGUCGUGAGAUGUUGGGUUAAGUCCCGCAACGAGCGCAACCCUCGUCCUUAGUUGCCAUCAUUAAGUUGGGCACUUUAGGGAGACUGCCGGUGACAAACCGGAGGAAGGUGGGGAUGACGUCAAGUCAGCAUGCCCCUUACGUCCUGGGCUACACACGUACUACAAUGCUACGGACAAAGGGCAGCAAGUUAGCAAUGACAAGCAAAUCCCAUAAACCGUGGCUCAGUUCAGAUCGCAGGCUGCAACUCGCCUGCGUGAAGGCGGAAUCGCUAGUAAUCGCCGGUCAGCAUACGGCGGUGAAUCCGUUCCCGGGCCUUGUACACACCGCCCGUCACACCAUGGGAGUUGGCCACGCCCGAAGUCGUUACCCUAACCUGCAAAGGAGGGGGACGCCGAAGGCAGGGCUGAUGACUGGGGUGAAGUCGUAACAAGGUAGCCGUACCGGAAGGUGUGGCUGGAUCACCUCCUUUU
rnacentral:rRNA from 1 species